GCCGGUAGUGCAACGGUUCAGCAGGUGCUCCUAGAAAGGUCGAGAUCUGGGUUCGAGUCCCAGCAGACGCA